CUUUACACUUGAAAGUUGCAACCAACUCUUCUGAAAAUGAUCCCCAUACUACAUUUAUCAAUUGGCUUUUGCACUUGCAAGUUGCAACCAACUCUUCCAACUAUUCUUCUCUAAUAUACUAGCAAUUCCUUUGAGUUUAUACUAGAUGCAUGUCUUUUUGCAUUUUUAUUCACUUCAUGAUCCCGCACUGUCCAUAUUUCAUAAUGGUUCUGGAAGGAGGGAAAGUGAUUGGUAGUGCCAAGAAUAUAUGCGGUGAAAUGCCAUGCUCUGUUGGUCGACAAAAGUGGAUACAACUAGCUAGCACCUAGCAUAUAAGAAGCAGACUGAUACUUGCCUUGCUCUGGUUCCUCAAAGCCGCCUUUUCCUUUUUACAUAUUCUGAAAAUGUUGUGUUGUAUGAAGAUUAAAUUUUAUUUGUCGUAGAAGUAAGAAAUCAUUUGAUUGAGAAUGCACAUCCCCGCUAUAUGAGUGGGGAGUAAAAGAAGAAGAAUUUUUUCUAUAAAAAAGUAGUUCUUAUUGUAAGUUAUUUACACACACAGACAUGGACAUCAUAUCGAAUAUUGAACAAAUUAGUAAUGACUUUAGUUAGUGUGCAAGAUCAAUAUUUUUGAAUAUGUUACACAUGUGAAAUAUACAAAUUAAGUAUGCUACAUUUCACAAAAACUG
rnacentral:lncRNA from 1 species